rnacentral:tRNA from 1 species
GAGGCUGUGGCUCAGUGGUAAAGGGCUCUCCUGGUGUGUGUGAGGCACUGGGUUCGAUUCUCAGCACCACA